rnacentral:rRNA from 2 species
UAUUGUUCUUCAACGAGGAAUCCCUAGUAAGCACAAGUCAUCAGCUUGUGCUGAUUACGUCCCUGCCCUUUGUACACACCGCCCGUCGCUACUACCGAUUGAAUGGCUUAGUGAGGCCUUCGGAUCGAUAAUCGAAGACUGGCAACAGUUUUUGGUUGUUAAGAAGUUGGUCAAACUUGGUCAUUUAGAGGAAGUAAAAGUCGUAACAAGGUUUCCGUAGGUGAACCUGCGGAAGGAUCAUUACCAAUUGGCGAACCUAGCGUUAGCGAGGUUUCGCGAUCAAUUUGUAUUUAAAACCCAACUCUUGAAUAAAAUAUAUAAUUAUAUGAAUCAUAUAAAAAAAGAUCACUUUCAACAACGGAUCUCUUGGCUCUCGCAUCGAUGAAGAACGUAGCAAAGUGCGAUAAGUAAUGUGAAUUGCAGAAUACCGUGAAUCAUCGAAUCUUUGAACGCAUAUUGCAUUCUCUGGUAUUCCGGAGAGUAUGCCUGUUUGAGGGUCAGUUAAAAAAAAUCAAGCGUUAUUGCUUUGGUGAUGACGUUUGGAAUUGAGUCGUCUUAAUCCCUUACGGUCAAAGUGACUUAAAAUUUUUAAUGUGAUUUCGAAACGUAUUUAAUAUUUUACUUACGUUUGCGAUAUCAAAUAAUCUAUUAGAUGUGGUCAUUUUCCAUGAUUCGCGUCUAUAGUUUUCUCAUUAAAUGACCUCAAAUCAGGUAAGAGUACCCGCUGAACUUAAGCAUAUCAAUAAGCGGAGGAAAAGAAAAUAACAAUGAUUCCCUUAGUAACGGCGAGCGAAGGGGGAAAAGCUCAAAUUUUAAAUCUGCUAGGUCAUACCUAUCAGAGUUGUAGUUUGAAGAAACGUUUUCCGCGUCUCGGUUGGCCUAAAUCCUUUGGGAUAAGGUAUCAUGGAGGGUUAGAAUCCCGUCUGGCCGACCUUGUGAUGCUUUACGAUACGUUUUCUAAGAGUCGAGUUGUUUGGGAUUGCAGCUCAAAAUGGGAGGUAAAUUUCUCCUAAGGCUAAAUACCGGCGAGAGACCGAUAGCGAACAAGUACCGUGAGGGAAAGAUGAGAAGAACUUUGAAAAGAGAGUUAAAUAGUACGUGAAAUUGUUGAAAGGGAAACGAUUGAAGUCAGUCGUACUGGCGAAAAAUCAACUACUCGAGUGAGUACUUGUGGGCGUAUGUGAGCUUCACGGCCGCGUUGUUUGCAAUGUUCGUGCUCUUGUGGUGUACUUUUUCGUAUGGUAGGUCAAUGUCGGUUUUGGACGCCAUAAAAUGAUCGGAGGAAUGUAGCUUCGACCUCGGUUGAAGUGUUAUAGCCUUUGGUAGAUGUGGUGUUUGGGACCGAGGAUUGCAACGAAUACCCUUUGGGCUAUCCGUCUGACCUCUGUUGGUUAACUGGGUGCCGAAAGCGUGCUUACGGUCAUCUAAGUUGACUGUCAAUAGGUUAGAACGUGAUUACAUUCGUUAAGGACGUUGACGUAAUGGCUUUAAACGACCCGUCUUGAAACACGGACCAAGGAGUCUAACAUAUAUGCGAGUGUUC